ensembl:ncRNA C26B2.15 ncRNA
AGAGAUAUCUGGUGACGUGGCAAGAGUUGCAGAUGAAUAGAAUACGGAUUCAAUAGAGUUUUUGAAAUCGCGUGGGAAUUUUUUGUACUUUUUCGGUUUUUUCUGUUAGAGAAUUGAGAUAAAAUAUUGUAAGGAACAGCGUUCCAGAGAAUUUUUUUGUAUUCUUGAUGCGUUUGAUUGUGUGUGAUAGGAAAAGAGGCAACUGACUUUCGAUUGAACUAAUAAUAUUGUUCGAUUGCUACGUUCCCCUGCACAUGACUCAUUUCCUUCAGCAAUGUUCAUUUUCUUUUUGAAAAUUAUUUGUUGUCUUCGAAUUUUGAGUUAUUAUUCAAAUUUUUUUGGGUUUGAAAUUUUUUGGGUUUUUUGGGUUAAUAUACAUAAAAAAUACUCAUUGAU